AAAUUUAUUCAAAAGUUAAAGUUAAGGUUCUCCCAGGACGAGGCUUCUGCAUUGCACCUAGCGGAGGUUGACCCCUGAGAUCACCCCUAAUGUGGGUGACUCGAGUAAUUUUUUAGUGUGGGGACUGCGUUCGCGCUCUCCCCU
rnacentral:snRNA from 1 species